GCAGUAUGAAUUUAUUUCUGCAGGGUAUUAAUGCUCAUGCCUAAACCCAAAGAACAUGGCGGCCACUUUAACAGUUAGGGGAACUUACCUAAUAAUUGAUAACCACCACGUCUCAUUACUUAAAGUAAUAUUUUGUAUGCCGUCGUCGGCAGGUAUAAUAUUAUACUAUACCUACCUAGACCAACUCAAAAGACAGAUCAAGGUGCAGACAAUCUUUAAGCUCAGGCGAGUUACAUUAGUAAUUUACUUCAAAAGCACCACUAAAUAGUGCCACAGUCGGACUUAAAAGUAAAAUAUAACUUAAAUAUUACUUGAAUUAUACUAAAGUUGUGC
rnacentral:rRNA from 1 species